rnacentral:rRNA from 1 species
GCGAGGCACGUGAAACCUUGUCUGAAUAUGGGGGGACCAUCCUCCAAGGCUAAAUACUCCUGACUGACCGAUAGUGAACCAGUACCGUGAGGGAAAGGCGAAAAGAACCCCUGUGAGGGGAGUGAAAUAGAUCCUGAAACCGCAUGCAUACAAGCAGUGGGAGCACCUUCGUGGUGUGACUGCGUACCUUUUGUAUAAUGGGUCAGCGACUUAUAUUCAGUAGCAAGGUUAACCGUAUAGGGGAGCCGUAGAGAAAUCGAGUCUUAAUAGGGCGUUUAGUUGCUGGGUAUAGACCCGAAACCAGGCGAUCUAUCCAUGAGCAGGUUGAAGGUUGGGUAACACUAACUGGAGGACCGAACCCACUGUCGUUGAAAAGCCAGGGGAUGACUUGUGGAUAGGGGUGAAAGGCUAAUCAAGCCUGGUGAUAGCUGGUUCUCCCCGAAAGCUAUUUAGGUAGCGCCUCGGACGAAUACCAUAGGGGGUAGAGCACUGUUUCGGCUAGGGGGUCAUCCCGACUUACCAAACCGAUGCAAACUCCGAAUACCUAUGAGUACUAUCCGGGAGACAGACUGCGGGUGCUAACGUCCGUAGUCAAGAGGAAAACAAUCCAGACCGCCAGCUAAGGCCCCAAAAUCAUAGUUAAGUGGGAAACGAUGUGGGAAGGCAUAGACAGCUAGGAGGUUGGCUUAGAAGCAGCCACCCUUUAAAGAAAGCGUAAUAGCUCACUAGUCGAGUCGGCCUGCGCGGAAGAUGUAACGGGGCUAAAACUAUGUGCCGAAGCUGCGGAUGUAUACUUUGUAUACGUGGUAGGGGAGCGUUCUGUAAGCCGAUGAAGGUGUGUUGAGAAGCAUGCUGGAGGUAUCAGAAGUGCGAAUGCUGACGUGAGUAACGACAAAACGGGUGAAAAACCCGUUCGCCGAAAGACCAAGGGUUCCAGUCCAACGUUAAUCGGGGCUGGGUGAGUCGACCCCUAAGGCGAGGCCGAAAGGCGUAGUCGAUGGGAAAAUGGUUAAUAUUCCAUUACUUCUGUGUAAUGCGAUGAGAGGACGGAGAAGGCUAAAUCAGCCUGGCGUUGGUUGUCCAGGUGAAAGGAUGUAGGCAUGUAUCUUAGGCAAAUCCGGGGUACUCUAUGCUGAGAUCUGAUAGCAAGCUGUACUUGUACAGCGAAGUGGUUGAUGCCAUGCUUCCAGGAAAAGUCUCUAAGCUUCAGUUACACAGGAAUCGUACCCGAAACCGACACAGGUGGUCAGGUCGAGUAGACCAAGGCGCUUGAGAGAACUCUGCUGAAGGAACUAGGCAAAAUGGUACCGUAACUUCGGGAGAAGGUACGCUGUUGUUGGUGAUGGAACUCGCUUCCUGAGCUGACGACAGCCGCAGAAACCAGGCCGCUGCAACUGUUUAUUAAAAACAUAGCACUCUGCAAACACGAAAGUGGACGUAUAGGGUGUGAUGCCUGCCCGGUGCUGGAAGGUUAAUUGAUGGGGUUAGCGUAAGCGAAGCUCUUGAUCGAAGCCCCAGUAAACGGCGGCCGUAACUAUAACGGUCCUAAGGUAGCGAAAUUCCUUGUCGGGUAAGUUCCGACCUGCACGAAUGGCAUAAUGAUGGCGGCGCUGUCUCCAGCAGAGGCUCAGUGAAAUCGAAAUCGCUGUGAAGAUGCAGUGUACCCGCGGCUAGACGGAAAGACCCCGUGAACCUUUACUGCAGCUUGACACUGAACUUUGACCUUACUUGUGUAGGAUAGGUGGGAGGCUUUGAAGCUGGAACGCUAGUUCCAGUGGAGCCGUCCUUGAAAUACCACCCUGGUAAUGUUGAGGUUCUAACUCUGUCCCGUGAUCCGGGACGAGGACCGUGUCUGGUGGGUAGUUUGACUGGGGCGGUCUCCUCCUAAAGAGUAACGGAGGAGUACGAAGGUGCGCUCAGCGUGGUCGGAAAUCACGCGUAGAGUAUAAAGGCAAAAGCGCGCUUAACUGCGAGACCCACAAGUCGAGCAGGUACGAAAGUAGGUCUUAGUGAUCCGGUGGUUCUGUAUGGAAGGGCCAUCGCUCAACGGAUAAAAGGUACUCUGGGGAUAACAGGCUGAUACCGCCCAAGAGUUCAUAUCGACGGCGGUGUUUGGCACCUCGAUGUCGGCUCAUCUCAUCCUGGGGCUGAAGCAGGUCCCAAGGGUAUGGCUGUUCGCCAUUUAAAGAGGUACGCGAGCUGGGUUUAGAACGUCGUGAGACAGUUCGGUCCCUAUCUACCGUGGGCGCUGGAAAUUUGAGAGGAUCUGCUCCUAGUACGAGAGGACCAGAGUGGACGAACCUCUGGUGUACCGGUUGUGACGCCAGUCGCAUCGCCGGGUAGCUAUGUUCGGAAGGGAUAACCGCUGAAAGCAUCUAAGCGGGAAGCCUACCUCAAGAUAAGAUUUCCCUAGGACUUUAUGUCCUCUAAAGAGCCGUUCGAGACUAGGACGUUGAUAGGUUGGAUGUGGAAGCAUAGUGAUAUGUGAAGCUGACCAAUACUAAUUGCUCGUGAGGCUUGACUAUACAACACCCAAGCAGUUG